rnacentral:rRNA from 1 species
CCUACGGGCGGCUGCAGAGGGGAAUAUUGCACAAUGGGCGCAAGCCUGAUGCAGCCAUGCCGCGUGUGUGAAGAAGGCCUUCGGGUUGUAAAGCACUUUCAGCGGGGAGGAAGGCGGUGAGGUUAAUAACCUCAUCGAUUGACGUUACCCGCAGAAGAAGCACCGGCUAACUCCGUGCCAGCAGCCGCGGUAAUACGGAGGGUGCAAGCGUUAAUCGGAAUUACUGGGCGUAAAGCGCACGCAGGCGGUCUGUCAAGUCGGAUGUGAAAUCCCCGGGCUCAACCUGGGAACUGCAUUCGAAACUGGCAGGCUAGAGUCUUGUAGAGGGGGGUAGAAUUCCAGGUGUAGCGGUGAAAUGCGUAGAGAUCUGGAGGAAUACCGGUGGCGAAGGCGGCCCCCUGGACAAAGACUGACGCUCAGGUGCGAAAGCGUGGGGAGCAAACAGGAUUAGAUACCCGUGUAGUC